rnacentral:lncRNA from 1 species
AUAUUUGUUUUUAGGGUAGACUUCAAAUACGAUCCUCUGGUUUCGCACUUUCUCAUUUUAAUAUUUUGUGGUUUAAAGUGUAUCAAAUUAGUGUCCUGUGAUUUUAUUUUUAUCUUUUCGUCAGCUUCUCGUUUAUAAUUUCGUUAAAUUAUAUACAAAGGACUUUAGAUACCUCACCUGAAUUUAUCGAAUAUUCACUUUAGUACCUUUUAGUUUUAACUUUGUCACUGAUUUAACAAAAAAAAUUAGUGGAAUCAAUAAUAAAAAGAUAAAAAUAAAACUACAGGGCACUAAAUUGAUACACUUUAAACCAUAGAGUACUAAAAUAAGAAAGUGUGAGACCACGGAAAUAACAUUUGAAGUUUUUUCUUCUUUUUAUGUGAAAGGAGGGGAAAUGCGAAGAGAUAAAAGAUGUGUUUCGUUAACCGUAAAAUAUACUAAAAAGUAAUUUUUAAUUUGAAAAAUAAUUUCUUGUGUGUUCAUGAAAAAUUAUUUUUAUAAAUUUGUAAAACAUAGUGUGUUUUCGUUUUUUGUCGAUUCUCAGCUGAAAAUAAAAACUCAAGCUGUGUAAAUUUUUUUUAAUUUAUUUAUUUUUACUGAACCAAACGAAUAAUUUUUUUUUUUCCUUCCAACCAAAUAAAUAUUGAUGAAAAUUUUUUUUCUCUACAAAUCAAACACUAUAAAGCGUAAAAAAAAAAAAAUACCAAAAAUU